rnacentral:piRNA from 1 species
UAAACAGGUACAUCCUACCCCAUGCAUGGU